ACGUUGAUACCAUUCGAACGAUGCCAUCUUUCACAAAUGCGAUUGUCUAUCACUGGUACAUCGACUGCUUGAAGUGUCUUUGGCCGUAAUCUCGAACCUAAAAUGUUCAAUAAGGAUUCUGUUUCUAAAAGGAAUAAGUUAGUUCAUUCGUUGUACAGGUUGUUCCUAAAAUGUACGAUCAAAUAUAUAUAUAUAUGGUCCAUGUAUUAGGAACAACCUAUGUAAAUGAGAGAUGUUAUUGUCUUCCUUAAGGUAAAAGACGGACUUAAUAACAACGAUAAUGAUAUCGGCAAAUUGGCGAAAUGUGUGGCAUGUAAUGAACCGGCCGAUCUAAUCUGAGCACUGCUACGUCGAAUCUGAGAACAAGUAGAUGAUUAAAAAAAAAAAAAAAAAAAAAAAAAAAAAAAAAAAAAAAAAAAAAAAAAAAAAAAAAAAAAGAGA